rnacentral:rRNA from 1 species
UAGAGUGAGGGGAGUAAGGGAGAGGGAUCCUAAUGGGAGUAGGAGAGGUAAUUGAAAGACUACAUUUAAUAACAAUGUCUAAGUAUGGACGUAAAGACUAUGAUUAACCUAGACAAAGGAAAGGGUCCUUAAUGGGACCGUUCUAAGCUAGAAAUAGUGACGAUAUUGGAGGCAUCUGAAUUGAAACAUCUUAGUAAGAUGCUAGUAAACCAAUAGGGAGCACUUCAGUACCGGUGAGGGAAAAAGUGCUAGUAUAUAAGUAAUAUCAUGUGAUAUGAAUAUAGUAGUGCUACUACUAAUACUAAUGCCUAAUCAUAAGUAACAAGUACCGUGAGGGAAAUACAUACAUUACUGCUUAAUUAAUCGGAAUAUAAUAUUAAGGUUAUAUAAAGACAGUAAACAAAUACUUAGAUAAGGAGCAGCUAUAGAAUAGCGUACCUCUUGUAUAAUGGGUCAGUGAGUUAGCUUCAUUAGCGAAAGAAACAUUGGAUUUAAUCGGAUGAUAUAGUUAAUGGGGCUAGACCCGAAAGUAUAUGAUCUAUACAUGACCAGGUUAUGUAGUUAACACUUUAUUGACUAUGUAGACCUAACAGGUGGGUGUUGCAAUACCCUCUGGAGAGUUGUGUAUCGAUGUGAAAGGCUACUCUCAUAUACAGAUAGCUGGUUGUCUGUGAAAUAUAUCUUAGUAUAGCGAUUAAAUAUGCAUUACUAGGUAAAUCACUAGAUUUGAACAUAUCUCUUAUGUCAUGGACAUUAAUUGAUAUUUAUGGGAGCUAUUAGAGCUUAUCAUACGAAUCUAACAUCUGAACUAGUUAAGUAGCAUUAAUUUGAUCAGUCAAUCUAGGUGCGAUAAGGUACCUAGAUGAGAAGGGAAUAACCUAGAUUACUCGGUGUAAGUCCUUAAUAACAACUAAGUGGUAUUAAUCCUAUCCCUUAAGCAUUAUGUUUAAGAAUUUCUAAUAAGACAGUUAAUCAGUGGAUAUGAUAGUAAUCAUCUGCUAGAGAACGUGUAACAACGCAUUAACUGAUACAUAGAUAGUAGGAGUAGAUAUACGGGCCUAAGUUGUUGACUGAACAGUAAAUAGUUACUCUAAUAGUAACUAUGGUAACAGACCACACCAUACUAUUAAUGGUGCAGAAUAUGCUGACUUGAGUAACGUAAGGAGGGAUAAGCCCUUCCCCUAUAUGUACAAGGUUUUACUACAAAUUAACGGCCUCUAAUCGUAUCUAUGAAGAUAGAUAGGAGAUGAGUAAUAUGACUAGAAAUAGUGCUAACCGUACUGUAGACCGACACUGGUGUACUAUAUCUUGAUUAUAUAAGAUAAAAUAGGGUAUGAGAUAAGCCAUAUGAAUGAACUCGGCAAUAAGAGUAUAACCUCUUGAAUAUAGUGCGACUGUUUACCAAAAACAUAGCCUAUUGCAGUCCCAUAAGGGAUGGUAUAAUAGGUGCUACCUGCCCGGUGCUAGAGAGAUAACACAUAAUGCUUUAGUUAACGGCGGUCUUAUCAUGAGGAUCCGAAGGUAGCGAAAUUCCUAGACGUUUAAUUGGCGUCCUGCAUGAAUGAGUACACGAUGCUAUAGAUGUAUCCAUAUGGUUCUCAGUGAAAUAGUAAUUGCAGUGAAGAUACUGUAUCAGCAAUAGAUUGACGAGAAGACCCUAUACAGCUUUACUAUAGAGUUACCUUGCUAUUCACUACCCUUUAUAAGCCUAUGUACUCGUACAGCUUAGUAAGCGUAGUCCGUAGCUAAUCUCCAUAGAAAUAUGCUUACUUAAUCGUGGCAUAGGAGAGACAUGAUAACUUGGUUAGUUUCGAUGGGGCGUCGACAUCACAAAGAAUAACUGAUGUGUCUAUAAGACUUGUUUGUAAUUAACUCUAGAAAUGGAGUUCUAAUAGUAUAUCCAGAUACAGUGAGGCUAAAUGGUAAUUAGUCAGCUCUACUCCAUUAUACCCGAUUUAUCUAGCAUAAAUAGGAUGGAUAGACAAUGAUAAGGAUAAUGACUUAACUGUGUUAUGAUAGAGGCACUUACAGGUGUCUUUAGUACGUAAGUAUUGUAUAGUGAACAGGCAAUGACUAAAGCAGAGUAUGUCGAUAGCGAAUCAAAGUUACGUUAGGGAUAACAGGGUAAUACCGCUAGAGAGUUGAUAUCGUCAGCGGUGUUUGCCACCUCGAUGUCGUCUAGGCUCAUCCUUAUGGUCGCAGCAACUAUAAAGGGUAUGACUGUUCGUCAUUUAAGGAGCUACUUGAGAUGGGUUAAUUACGGCGUGAGCCAGUAAUGUUUCUAUCAUCUAUUGCACUAUAACAACAGCUUUAUUACAUGUGUACGAGAGGAUUAUGUAAUCUAGACCAAUGGUGAUAACUAAAUGCUUAUUUAAUCGAGUAUUAAGUUAUAAGCUAAGCCUAGCAGCAAUAAGUAUUGACCGCAUAUCAAAUACGAAGUCUAUAGCUGUUUGUUGAACAAAACAUUGAAGAUAACAAUGUGCUAGUGUAAUCGGUUCAUAUGACUGUUACACUGAUCUAUGGAGCAUAUCCAUGUUAAAUGAAGGACAAUUACCUCAAAACUUAAGGAAAGAAAGUAAGACUGACA